ACCUUGCACUUUUUGCAUUCCCACGUUAUUUUGCUGCAUCAUUUAUGUUUUCUGCACACUACACAAGCUCUCGCAGGCUUUACUUUUGAUGGUGUUGGACAAAUAUGUUUGGGAAAAUGCGCCCAAUGUUGCGUGUGCAGUCUUUGUGGUAUAUCGUCGGAUGCUAAUCGUCCCUCUCGAUUAUAUUCCGUUUCAGACGCAGCAGAUAGCCAUGCUGCUAAACACGGUACAGAAGCUACUAACCCAUCAAGCCACAGGCAACACCUGUAGCUUCGAGUGCCUUUUCGCCAGUUUAAUGAACAAGAGGAAUGGCUUGAGCGAUUGCAACAGUAUGAAGGCCACGUAAUUGCUCAUAACAUACCAGGUUCACAGAUCCCUAGGACAGCACAGCCACAGCAGCCACCAGAGGGUGUCAUCACGACACUGUGGGAUUGCCCCAUGGAGACAGAGCCUUUGCCUCCUCUUGUCCUACUGGUGGAGCUGGGCCUGCCCACGCUGCAGCAGCCGAUAUCUUCUACAUACACUUACCCUUCUGGGUGUUUUCUGGGAAAUGUUUCCACCAGAGCGCAAGCCAGAUGGUGGGAUAUGACAGAUAGUCUGAUGUUCCCUACAGCCACAGCUUCCAGUCCAUCGCGGCGUCCACCCUCCAGUCUCCCCUCCCGUUGUCUUGUUCCUUAUAUGAUGAUGGUCCUUUGCUUUGGGGGGGGGGGGGGCGAAUGUUAUGGCAUAAAGCCAAGUGACGGCACCCCAGUCGGGAACAAUAGAGAAGAGAUGGCUAUGAGAAGACGUCAGCCAAUCACAUGCUGACACACAUGACAACGUGACAGUAGUGGCACCUAUGUGAAGAGGACAUUAGAGCCACAACCGACUGGUGACGCCCCAGUUGAAAAGCAGCUUCAAGAUUAGGCACUUGUAUAGUAGUGACAGUUCUUGUCAACUCACUUGUAUGUUCUACGUAGCACAGACUUGGACCUGUUUAUAAUGAAUAAGUUUGCUAAUUUUGUAUAUCACCUUUCGCUUGCGACACGUGUGUGUAAUUGUGAAGUUAUGUUUUGUAUCUUUUUGUUUGGUAAUAAAACUAAUUAAUAUGA